GACAGAGGGGGCAAGCGUUGCUCGGAAUUACUGGGCGUAAAGGGCGCGUAGGCGGGAUGGCAAGUCGGUCGUGAAAUCCCUCGGCUCAACCGAGGAACGUCGAUCGAUACUGCUGUUCUUGAGGAUUGCAGAGGAGACUGGAAUUCCCGGUGUAGCGGUGAAAUGUGUAGAGAUCGGGAGGAACACCGGUGGCGAAGGCGGGUCUCUGGGCAAUUCCUGACGCUGAGGCGCGAAAAGCUAGGGGAGCAAA
rnacentral:rRNA from 1 species